CAAUAGCGUAUAUUAAAGUUGUUGCGGUUAAAAAGUUCGUAGUUGGAUUUCUGUCGGAGACCUGCGGUCUGCGCUACGUGCAUGUAUCUGUAGGGCUCUGGCAUCCUUCCGAAAGACGUCGCUAUGCUUCGUUGCACGGUGCGGAGUUCGGAACUUUUACUUUGAGGAAAUUAGAGUGUUCACGGCAGGCCAACGCCAUGAAUAUAUUAGCAUGGAAUAAUAAUAUAGGAUUUCGGUUCUAUUUUGUUGGUUUCUAGGGCCGAAAUAAUGAUUAAUAGGGACAGUUGGGGGCAUUCGUAUUAAGGCGUCAGAGGUGGAAUUCUUGGAUUGCCUUACGACGAACUACUGCGAAAGCAUUUGCCAAGGAUGUUUUCAUUGA
rnacentral:rRNA from 1 species